rnacentral:tRNA from 7 species
GGGGCCUUAGCUCAGUUGGGAGAGCGCAACACUGGCAGUGUUGAGGUCAGCGGUUCGAACCCGCUAGGCUCCACCA